rnacentral:rRNA from 1 species
UACAGAGGUCUCAAGCGUUGUUCGGAUUCAUUGGGCGUAAAGGGUGUGUAGGUGGCGCCGUUAGUCGGGUGUGAAAUUUCGGAGCUUAACUCCGAAACUGCAUUCGAUACUGCGGUGCUUGAGGACUGGAGAGGAGACUGGAAUUCAUGGUGUAGCAGUGAAGUGCGUAGAGAUCAUGAGGAAGACCAGUGGCGAAGGCGGGUCUCUGGACAGUUCCUGACACUGAGACACGAAGGCCAGGGGAGCAAACGGG